ACCAGGGAUGCAUGGAUGAGUCACCUGUGGACAGAGGAGGCAGAGGAACGGGAGCUGUCAGAGGGUGGAGGGACAGAGAAACAAUGUCCCAGAACCUGAGGCCGGCAGUCUGGUCAGCGCCGAGAAUUCUUAGAAGAUACAAGCAGCUGGGCAGGCUCUGGAGAGCCCGUGUGCCAGGGAGAGAAGCCAGGGUCCGCUCAUCGCCACCGAAAGGUGAGGGUGCUGCCUGUCAACACCACUUAAUGAAGAAUUCUGUACCAGCCGGAGCCAAGGGCAGGAGAACACCUGGAUCUAUGUGUCUUCUUUCCCAGUCAAGAAAACUGAGACAAGGAAUAAGCCUCCAGAAUCACUGGCUGACAGGAAUGCAGUGGAGACACACACGGAAUGCUCUCUACUCAGUCAUCUUCAUGAUCUUCGGCUGCCUGUCACUUGCUAUAACCAGAACAGGGACUGAUUUACAGAUUCCCCUCCCGCUCAGAGUGGAGCUUUUCUGAAACACUUAAAGCAAUCAUUUAAAAAAAUGUUUUUCCCCAAACAGUUUUUACAAUUUCAUUUCACACAGGAGGUUUCUGUAGAUUUGUUUCAUAUUCCAGCUUAUUUCCGUAAGGAGCCUUUGUGAGCAGAAAGGAAAAACAAGUGAGCUGGAUGAUGGUUGCUAUGGCAACACUGCUAUUUUUUUUUUUUUUUCUGAUUAUGACUGUUUACUUCAGCAGAGUUAAGUUAAACGCAAGCAGCCAACUACGAUGAUGCUUGGAAUUUUAACCUUAACGUAAGAAAAGAACAAGCACUUUAAGAGUGAUGCUAAGUACUAGGGUAAUAGGCAUGGUAUCUUAGUUUAUCACAGUUCUUUAUAAUGAUAUACGAAAUGAAUUAAACACAUUUUGUCUGAAUUUUUUUUUUAUUAAGGCUGGAUACUUUAUGUUUAGCUGGGAAGCUGUCCUGGUUUACUGGGAAAGCAACACUGUGAUCCAUUUCCCUUAAGAGGAAUGGGGGCCUCCCAUAAUCUGCCCAAAUGGACAAUCAAUACAGUAUUUGGCAACAUUAAGAAUUACAGAGAAGCUAUAAUCCCGGUACUCAGGAGGUUGAGGCAGGAGAUCCAUUGCAAAUUUAAGGUCAGCCUGAACUACAUAGCAAGACAGUCUCAAAAAAAAAAAAAAAAAUUACAGAGGAACAGAACUAGAUCCUCACCAAUACAACCAGUUCCAGUGUUGACAUUAGCAACAGGAGUUUCCAAGAGAAUGUGUCAUCUGUGACAAGGAAGUGUGGCAUUUCUACGUGCAGUAGUUUUCUUAGUUGCAUAGUUUUAAAAUAGAUUUCACUCCACAUCAAUCCAUUUGGGGUAAUAAGCAAGUCUUUUUAUCUCCAAAAAGAGACAAUUUCCCAAUGUUUUAUGAGCAAGUUCUAAAAGCAAGACUUGCAAAAGAACUCCCAAUCAGUCUGGUCCCAUGGCGGGUGGCUCAAUUCCAAACGUGUAUAUUUCCUAAAAGUUGCUUUACAAUGUGUAGUUAAGUUCUGGCCUUGUAAAAGCUCAUGGAUCAGAGAUCAGAGCAUCUGCGUCCUGACAGAAGAGAUGGUCACAACACGGAACCUAAAACACUUGAGCUAUGUGACCUUGGGUAAGUUGUGUAAUAUGUCUGAAUUUCAUGUCCUUGUCUACGAAACAAGGAUAAUAUCUCAAACUACAUAGGACUGUUGUAAAAAUUAAACAAUUUAUCAGCAUAAGACCUAAUUAACUGCUCAAUAAGUAAAAGAUAAUUUUGUAAUUAUUACUAUGGUAACAAGAGUAGUAUCCACAGCAGAAUUGUCACAGCUCAGUAAUAAAGUGUUUGUCGUUUAACAUAGAGGACUGGGUGGGGAAGAAGAAUGGGCUCACUAUGUAACCCAGGCUGGGCUCGAGCUCAUGGUGAUUCUCUUGCCUCAGCCUCCUGUGUGCUGGAAUGACGGGUGUGUGUCACCAUGCUUGGCAAAAUACGGGAUUUAAAAACAUGAACUGUAAAUGUCUUCAUGUUUCUCCUGCAUAGGGAUAGCUGCUUAUCAAAAGGGAAGUGGAGAAGGGUAACUGGGAGGAACAUCACCUAUGCCCAUAGCUUCUGCCCCAUGCUGGUGACAGAGCGAAAGUCACAGGAAGCACACCAGCUCCAGCCCCAGCUCCAGCCCCGCCUCGCAGCAGCAAGCCAAGACUAGCACUGCCAAGAGGUCUCGCGCAAGCGCACUGUGGAGCAGGCGCCAUGCCCGCGUGGGCAGGCACAGCAGGCCCCUCUGUAAGUGGGUGUCCGACACAAGCCUAGGCCCGGCUCCAGCUCUCCAGAAUGCACCCCACGGAGGGGACCCGCACCAGGCGUGGGUGGCACUAACAGGACUGGAGCUCCAGAAAACCUGCAGGGGAUAGCGGCUUUGGUAAGUUGAGAGCAACCCUUAAAUCCGGCAGAGACCUCCGGGAGUAUGAAGCCGGCGUAUGAAGCAAGAGAAACACUGAAAUUAGGCAGAAAAGUCCAGAGUUCACAGAAUGACUGCUGGCUGAGUCAGAUUUGCAGCAGGGUUAAAUUUAAAAGGCGGAUGAGACUGCAAAAUACGAGAACUCAGCUCCUCCCACUUAUGCUUGAAUUUGAAGGCAGCAAAGUUUUGGGUCUUCGCUUCUAGAGCACAUAACUCCAGAUAGCAGGGAAAAACUCAGAAACUGGGGAUGGGGUCAGGGGGAAGCACCAGCCAGAAUGUAAAACUCAUGCCAUAUAAUGCAUCCGGAAAAAGAUCAAGACACCAGAGAAGUACAGCCGAAGCUGACUGAACACAGACUUGCCAUCAGGGGUUCGGGAUCUAUUUGUGUUUUAGAAAAUGGGUGAAGGCAAAUAAGUUUCCAGAAGUACUGAAAAUUUCAAAUCCUCAAAUUUAGUAAUCACAGUGUUUAAAAAGCAGAAUAAGCAAAAAUAAAUCUUUGCCUUUGCACCAGAUACAACUGCCAUUCCUUAAAGGCAAAGAUAAGUCAAAUUCCCCAUAAAUGGAUGGUAUUAUGGUUUGUAUCUGGAUGUCCCCCCAAAACCUCAUUCAAUCAUGGGGGCAGGCUUUUAGGGUUUGUGACUGAUUCCUGGUCCAAUGCUGGGAUUAUGGAUGUGACUGCUACAGCCAAGUAGGUGUGGCCUGCAUACACAAUAUAAGGGACAGAAAGAGUCUUCCCCCCACCACCUCCUUUUUUGCUCUUGUUACUUUUGCUGUUUCCCCCCACCAUGAACUGUUGCCCUCUGCCAUGUCACCCUGCCUUGGAACCAGCUGAUUAUGGACUGAAAGCUCCACAAACAGCUGAAUAAACCUUUCCUUCCUUAAUUCCUCUCUAA